rnacentral:rRNA from 1 species
CCUACGGGGGGCUGCAGUGAGGAAUAUUGGUCAAUGGACGAGAGUCUGAACCAGCCAAGUAGCGUGAAGGAUGACUGCCCUAUGGGUUGUAAACUUCUUUUAUAUGGGAAUAAAAUGUUCCACGUGUGGGAUUUUGUAUGUACCAUAUGAAUAAGGAUCGGCUAACUCCGUGCCAGCAGCCGCGGUAAUACGGAGGAUCCGAGCGUUAUCCGGCUUUAUUGGGUUUAAAGGGAGCGUAGGUGGAUUGUUAAGUCAGUUGUGAAAGUUUGCGGCUCAACCGUAAAAUUGCAGUUGAAACUGGCAGUCUUGAGUACAGUAGAGGUGGGCGGAAUUCGUGGUGUAGCGGUGAAAUGCUUAGAUAUCACGAAGAACUCCGAUUGCGAAGGCAGUUCACUGGACUGCAACUGACACUGAGGCUCGAAAGUGUGGGUAUCAAACAGGAUUAGAUACCCGAGUAGUC